rnacentral:rRNA from 1 species
UACGUAGGGGGCAAGCGUUGUCCGGAAUCAUUGGGCGUAAAGCGCGUGUAGGCGGCUGAGUAAGUCUGCUCUGAAAGCCCGGGGCUCAACCCCGGGAGGCGGGUGGAUACUGCUCAGCUCGAGUCCGGAAGAGGAGUGUGGAAUUCCUGGUGUAGCGGUGAAAUGCGCAGAUAUCAGGAGGAACACCGAUGGCGAAGGCAGUGGGCUGGGCCGGCACUGACGCUGAGGAGCGAAAGCGUGGGGAGCGAACAGG